CAAUAGCGUAUAUUAACGUUGUUGCAGUUAAAAAGCUCGUAGUUGGAUUUCUGGAGGGAGCGUCGGCCCGUAUUUACGAGUGCGUGACGUCUCUGUCCAUCCUUGCGGGAAGGCACGGCAUUGAUUUGUUGUGUCGGAUCGCAUCAUCUACUGUGAAAAAAUUAGAGUGUUCAAAGCAGGCUUUCGCUUGAAUACAUUAGCAUGGAAUAAUAAGAUAGGACUUUGGUGCUAUUUUGUUGGUUGAGCCUAAAGUAAUGAUUAAUAGGGAUAGUUGGGGGCACCUGUAUUGCGUUGUCAGAGGUGAAAUUCUUGGAUUUACGCAAGACAAACAGCUGCGAAAGCGUCUGCCAAGGAUGUUUUCAUUAA
rnacentral:rRNA from 1 species